rnacentral:rRNA from 1 species
UGGGGAAUUUUGGACAAUGGGCGAAAGCCUGAUCCAGCCAUGCCGCGUGAGUGAAGAAGGCCUUCGGGUUGUAAAGCUCUUUUAGUCGGAAAGAAAGAGUCGCAAUGAAUAAUUGUGAUUUAUGACGGUACCGACAGAAAAAGCACCGGCUAACUACGUGCCAGCAGCCGCGGUAAUACGUAGGGUGCGAGCGUUAAUCGGAAUUACUGGGCGUAAAGGGUGCGCAGGCGGUUUUGCAAGUCAGAUGUGAAAGCCCCGGGUCUUAACCUGGGAAUUGCGUUUGAAACUACAAGGCUAGAGUGCAGCAGAGGGGAGUGGAAUUCCAUGUGUAGCAGUGAAAUGCGUAGAGAUGUGGAAGAACACCGAUGGCGAAGGCAGCUCCCUGGGUUGACACUGACGCUC